rnacentral:snoRNA from 1 species
AGAUAUAAAGCUAAUUUUGUGGUUUGUUGUUAGAUAAAGUUUGAAGGCCAUGUUAGAACACCCGAAAGCCGUGGAGAUGUAGCGUUUUAUUCUGAGCAUGAAGCCGGCCCCUGGUGUUGUUUUUACAGUUACUACUACAUGUUGAUGAUUGUUCUUGUUCUUAAGAAGAGAACGCUCAUUGAGCGGU